UCAAGGUUCCCUUCAAGGGUGACUGCCAC
rnacentral:sRNA from 1 species